rnacentral:rRNA from 1 species
AACGAACGCUGGCGGCGCGCCUAAUACAUGCAAGUCGAACGAGAAGGUGUAGCAAUACACUUGUACAGUGGCGAACGGGUGAGGAAUGCAUGGGCAACCUACCCUCGAGUGGGGAAUAACCAGCCGAAAGGUUGGCUAAUACCGCGUACGCUUCCGGGUCUCCGGAUCCGGAAGGAAAGUCACACCGUGGGUGUGACGCUCAAGGAUGGGCUCAUGUCCUAUCAGCUUGUUGGGAGGUAACGGCUCACCAAGGCAACGACGGGUAGCUGGUCUGAGAGGACGAUCAGCCACACUGGCACUGCGACACGGGCCAGACUCCUACGGGAGGCAGCAGUAAGGAAUAUUGCGCAAUGGGCAAAGCCUGACGCAGCGACGCCGCGUGGGGGAUGAAGGUCUUCGGAUUGUAAACCCCUUU